rnacentral:misc_RNA from 1 species
GAUGAAGAACGUAGCGAAAUGCGAUACUUGGUGUGAAUUGCAGAAUCCCGUGCACCAUCGAGUCUUUGAACGCAAGUUGCGCCCGAAGCCAUUAGGCCGAGGGCACGCCUGCCUGGGCGUCACACGUCGUUGCCCCCCCAUCUACUCCUUCGGGAUUGCGGGGGGCGGAUGAUGGCCUCCCGUGCGCCUCGUCGCGCGGUUGGCAUAAAUGCCAAGUCCUCGGCGACGCACGCCACGACAAUCGGUGGUUGCGAAACCUCGGUUGCCCGUCGUGUGCGGUCGUCGCGCAUCGAGGGCUCGAAAAAAUUGCCGGGCUCCGGCUCGGCUUUCAACGCGACCCCAGGUCAGGCGGGGUUACCCGCUGAAUUUAAGCAUAUCAAAAAGCGGAGGA